rnacentral:lncRNA from 1 species
UUUUUUUUUUUUUUUUUUUAAUUUUCUGUAGAGAUAAGGUCUUGCUAUGUUGCCCAGGCUGGUCUCAAACUCCUGGGCUCAAAUGAUCCUCCCGCUUUGGUCUCCCAAAGUGCUGGAGUUAGAGGUAUGAGCCACUGUGCCUGGCCAGAGCUUAUUUCUUCUCUCUAACUGUAUGUUUGUGUCCAUUACUGUCCAGUCUUUAUCCCCCUGUAAGUAGUUUACAGCUAAGAAUGUUUUUACAUUUUUCCUCUGGUUUUUUUUUUUUUUUUUAAUGAGAUUGCACAGUUUAUUUCCAAACACUCAGAGGAUAGGGAGUGGUCUGUGGGCUCCAUCUGCCUCCCCUCCCUGCAUUUGGCUGAAUCAAGAACUUCUCUCCCCUCAUCCCCAACAUCCUAGGCUGUGCCUGAUAGAGAAGGCACCCUCACGCCCACCCCGAGGAGAGACCCAGACAGGUGAGGAGCAUGGAGGGUGGGGGGACAGAGUUCAGGUAUUCACAGUUCCCCCAUCUCCACCCCUGGAUUACACUGUGCAAAAGCCAUGAGGGAGGAUCCCACCUCUGGGAUUCCUAGUGGUGUUGAUAGUCCUUCUCCCACUUAGGCCUUCCAGAUGAACUCCCUACUCCUUAUCCCUGAAAUAACAAACCAAGUCCUAAGCCCUGUGGUCUGGGCAAGGAGGGGCCUUAGCACACCACUCACCCGAGGCCCCCAGGGAUCGGGGGAGGGCCUUCACCUGUAGUGAAAGGGUUGGGAGCAAGUGUCUAUAAGGAGAGAGGAAGGGAGAGAGCUGAGAGGACCUUGGGAGGCAGGCUUGCAGGCUUCUGACAGAUAAGUUCAGACAGCUCUGGUCUGUUACUCCACCCCGCCCCACACCCCAAGCCCAGAAUCCCUGAGUCCAACUGCAAAGGCAGUACGGCCAGAGGGAGGAAUGGGGGCAGGGAGAGAGCUGGGCAGGACCUGGUCCUCCUCUCCCAGUCAGUCCUGAUCCUGGGAUGCAUGAUGCUUAGGGAGGGCCAGGACCAGCCUCAAGUACCAGCUCUUAGGCUUUGAUCUUCCAGAACAGCUGAAUCCUGGGGAACAUAGGGUAGACCCACCAACCCCCACACCCCAGCUGUCCCGGCCUCGGGUAGGAUGGUGGGAAUGGGCUCUCCCAAGGCUAUUAUAAAAAGCUAAAACCGUUAAACACUUCCAGGGGAGAAGUGGCUCCCAGUCUCUCGCCCCCACCAAGCUAUCAGUCUCCACAGCACCUAGCAGACAGGGCUAAGGAGGUCCCAGAGAGUCAAAGGAGGAGGGCACAGCCCCUGGCCCCAGAGAGAGGGCCCACUAGCAUCAGGUGAUGUUGAGGCACCUCUGCAGCCUGACUGGCCCCCACACAGGGGCCCUCCGAAGCUGGGGUGCACACUUGCUAAAGCUUCUGUGC